GGUCAAAAUAUGCAGUUUUGGGAUUUCUUAUGGCUUGAUGGACCUUCAAAAUUUAAUAAACUGAGCACUCCCUUGUUAAAAUGCUCAUCCAACUUAAAAUCAGAAAAUGCAUGAAAAUGAGAGAUGUCUGAAUUUUUUCCCCCAUAUCAGCUGGGCAUCAUACCUGCUUGGGAUGUACUCAAAAUCAGAGACAUUUUUACUCCAGGGAACAGCACUCAAGAAAGGGAUGACAUUCAAGAUCACAAAGAAAGAGUUCAAGAUUAAAUAUAAGCAAGUUGAAAUUAAAAUAAAAUUGAUGAUACAAACAUGAAACCACAUGAAAAUAAAGAAAAGUAAAUCGUGAGUAGUUAUAUUAUUUUUAUUCAUGUGUUUU